GAUGAACGCUGGCGGCGUGCCUAAUACAUGCAAGUCGAGCGAACAGACGAGGAGCUUGCUCCUCUGACGUUAGCGGCGGACGGGUGAGUAACACGUGGAUAACCUACCUAUAAGACUGGGAUAACUUCGGGAAACCGGAGCUAAUACCGGAUAAUAUAUUGAACCGCAUGGUUCAAUAGUGAAAGACGGUUUUGCUGUCACUUAUAGAUGGAUCCGCGCCGCAUUAGCUAGUUGGUAAGGUAACGGCUUACCAAGGCAACGAUGCGUAGCCGACCUGAGAGGGUGAUCGGCCACACUGGAACUGAGACACGGUCCAGACUCCUACGGGAGGCAGCAGUGGAGAAUCUUCCGCAAUGGGCGAAAGCUUGACGGAGCAACGCCGCGUGAGUGAUGAAGGUCUUCGGAUCGUAAAACUCUGUUAUUAGGGAAGAACAAAUGUGUAAGUAACUAUGCACGUCUUGACGGUACCUAAUCAGAAAGCCACGGCUAACUACGUG
rnacentral:rRNA from 1 species